UGGUGCCAGCAGCCGCGGUAACUCCAGCUCCAAUAGCGUAUAUUAAAGUUGCUGCAGUUAAAAAGCUCGUAGUUGGAUCUGGACUGUGGUGUGGAUGCUCGUUGUGUGGCAUGCGGUGGUGGCCCGUUGAUAAUGACGGUGUUGCUGCAGUGUGUUUGCGCGGGUAAAUUUGCACCUAGUCUCCUAGCUGUGUCUGUGUGGUUAUUGGUUGAGUGGAACCAAAAAAUUUCACAAUAUGCUUAUGGUCAUGUGGAUGAUGUCGAGUUUAAAUCGUGCUGGUUCCUCGCAUGGGGGAUUAGUGCGGCUCGAUGUUAUGCUUUGUUUUAUGCUCUUGAUUGAGUGUGCGAAGCGGACAGCACGUUUACUUUGAACAAAUUUGAGUGCUCAAAGCAGGCUGAAUUUUGCCUGGAAAGUCUUGCAUGGAAUAAUGGAAUAGGACUUCGGCCCUAUUUUGUUGGUUUGAUAGACCCGAAGUAAUGAUAAAGAGAGACAGACGGGGG
rnacentral:rRNA from 1 species